rnacentral:rRNA from 1 species
GCUUACGGCCAUACCAACCUGGCUAUGCCCGAUCUCGUCUGCUCUCAGAAGCUAAGCAGGUUUGGGCCUGGUUAGUACUUGGAUGGGAGACCGCCUGGGAAUACCAGUUGCUGUAAGCU